GACCCCUGAUCCAGCCAUGCCGCGUGAGUGAUGAAGGCCUUAGGGUCGUAAAGCUCUUUCGCCUGUGAUGAUAAUGACAGUAGCAGGUAAAGAAACCCCGGCUAACUCCGUGCCAGCAGCCGCGGUAAUACGGAGGGGGUUAGCGUUGUUCGGAAUUACUGGGCGUAAAGCGCGCGUAGGCGGAUUAGUCAGUUAGAGGUGAAAUCCCAGGGCUCAACCCUGGAACUGCCUUUAAUACUGCUAGUCUUGAGUUCGAGAGAGGUGAGUGGAAUUCCGAGUGUAGAGGUGAAAUUCGUAGAUAUUCGGAGGAACACCAGUGGCGAAGGCGGCUCACUGGCUCGAUACUGACGCUGAGGUGCGAAAGUGUGGGGAGCAAACAGGAUUAGAUACCCUGGUAG
rnacentral:rRNA from 1 species